GAUGAACGCUGGCGGCGUGCUUAACACAUGCAAGUCGAACGGUGAAGCGCCUUCCUUUUUGGUGGGUGUGGAUGAGUGGCGAACGGGUGAGUAACACGUGAGUAACCUGCCCCCUCCUUCUGGAUAACCGCAUGAAAGAGUUGCUAAUACGGGAUAUUCUGGGUCUGUCGCAUGAUGGGUCUGGGAAAGAUAUUGUUUCGGUGGGGGAUGGGCUCGCGGCCUAUCAGCUUGUUGGUGGGGUGAUGGCCUACCAAGGCGGUGACGAGUAGCCGGCCUGAGAGGGUGGACCGUCACACUGGUGCUGAACCGUGGCGCCGACUCCUGCGGGCAGCAGCAGUGGGGAAUAUUGCACGGUGGGCGCAAUCAUGGUGCAGCGCCGCCGGGGUGGUGAAGGUCGCCGUCGCGUUGUGAACUGCUUUCGCCAGUGAAGCAGGCCUGCCUCGUCUGUGGGUGUGUUGACGGUAGCUGGAUAGAAAGCCCCGGCUAACUACGUG
rnacentral:rRNA from 1 species